AGUGAACGCUGGCGGCAUGCUUUACACAUGCAAGUCGAACGGCAGCACAGUAUUCGGUCUCUCUGAGGGGUGCCGAGUGGCGAACGAUGCAGCGAUACGUGGGCAGCAGCGUGGGCGUGGGGGAUAACGUAGGGAAAAUUACGCUAAUACCCCAUACGACCUACGGGUGAAAGCAAAGGAUCUUCGGACCUUGCGCGAGUGAAUGAGCCGAUGUCGGAUUAGCUAGUUGGCGGGGUAAAGGCCCACCAAGGCGACGAUCCGUAGCUGGUCUGAGAGGAUGAUCAGCCACACUGGGACUGAGACACGGCCCAGACUCCUACGGGAGGCAGCAGUGGGGAAUUUUGGACAAUGGGGGCAAGCCUGAUCCAGCCAUGCCGCGUGGGUGAAGAAGGCCUUCGGGUUGUAAAGCGCUUUUGUUGGGGAAGAAAAGCAGCAGGCUAAUACCCCGCGGGUCUGACGGUACCGAAAGAAUAAGCACCGGCUAACUUCGUG
rnacentral:rRNA from 1 species